GACUAACGCUGGCGGCGUGCCUAAUACAUGCAAGUCGAACGGUCAUGCAUUUGUAGCAAUAUGAGUGCAUGGUAGUGGCGAACGGGUGAGUAACACGUAGGUAACCUACCCUUAAGCGGGGGACAACUCAGGGAAACUUGAGCUAAUACCGCAUAAGACCACGGGCUGAGAUGCCAGUGGGAAAAGGAGCAAUCCACUUAAGGAUGGGCCUGCGGCCUAUCAGGGUAGUUGGUGAGGUAACGGCCCACCAAGCCAGAGACGGGUAGCCGGGCUGAGAGGUUGAACGGCCACACUGGAACUGAGAUACGGUCCAGACUCCUACGGGUGGCUG
rnacentral:rRNA from 1 species